GAAUCAGCCCUCUUAAGGAUGCCAUGCAUCAUGUUGUCACAAAGUCUGACAAAACGAAAUUAGAGGUGAAGUACAUUAAUGCGGUGAAAGGUAAGGUGGUAUCUGGUAUGAUUGAUUUAUCAGUUAAUAAUUAAUAUAAUAUGUAACCAUAAUCUUAUGAGUAUGUAAAAAAAAAAAAAAAAAAAAAAAAAAAUCUUCUGGGUAUGUUAAUUAGGAACCUGGUUGCAGAAUAUUUUAAAUAAGCCACUAUUGAUGUGUUCUGUGUGCACAGUUAUCAUCCUUUAUCUGCAAGAUUUAUUUAUUUUUUUGGUGAAAAUGUUUUUGCUGUAUUUGCAGGACGUGGACUAUUUGCAAAAGGUUCCUUUUGCAAAGGAGAUUUUAUUGUGGAGUACAGGGGUGAAUUGAUAAAUUAUGCAGAGCUGGAGAGAAGAAGAAAACUCUACCACCCAUCCUGUGCUGUUUUUAUGUUCGAGUUUAAGUGGAGAGGGAAAACAUGGUGCAUUGAUGCAUCUAGGGAAGAUGGAUCGUUUAGGCGGUUAGUUAACGAUGACCACCAACAUCCAAAUUGUAAGAUCAAGAAAAUUGAUGUGAAUGGAAAGGCACACCUGUGUUUAUUUGCGCUGAAAGACAUUAAAGAAGAAGAAGAAAUCACAUACGAUUAUGGGGGAGACGACUGCCCAUGGAGAACCCAACAGGUGACGCUGAU